rnacentral:rRNA from 1 species
UGAUGGCGACCGGCGCACGGGUGAGUAACACGUAUCCAACCUGCCUCAUACUCGGGGAUAGCCUUUCGAAAGAAAGAUUAAUAUCUGAUAGCAUAUAUUUCCCGCAUGGGUUUUAUAUUAAAGAAAUUCGGUAUGAGAUGGGGAUGCGUUCCAUUAGUUUGUUGGGGGGGUAACGGCCCACCAAGACUACGAUGGAUAGGGGUUCUGAGAGGAAGGUCCCCCACAUUGGAACUGAGACACGGUCCAA